CUCUUAAAGACCUGGGGGAGAAGCCAGGAGGUGCAUCAACAUGAAUGCUAUAGCAGAAUGAGAGCCUUGAGAGUCCUGGAAUGAAAUCAGAAUCCCAAGCAGUGCUGGGCCACUAAACUCCCCCUUCCUGGAGAGUAUUUCUGCUCUGAGAUAUCCAUCAUGAGAGUGUGACACUGCUGAGGACAGUUUUGCUUGGACAGAAGAGGCCUAGUGCUUCCCUUUGUCAUCAGUCUUUUUCUGGAGGAAGAGCAAUAAAGUUUGAGGCCACAGAGAUGCUGGUGGGAUGGACGUGGUUCGGGAUCUCAGCUCUGAUCACAACUGCAGCAGCUGCACCCAGAGGACCAGUGCUGGAUCCCCACUCUGAGGAAGGCAAUGGCUGUGCACUUUGGAGCUCAUGUUCGCUGGGGAUCUGCGGGUGGAGCCGGAGGUGAACUGGAAGCUCUCUACCCUCCAAGCGGGUCUCUGGCAAGAGGCGAGAACAGGUGAUGUUUCCUUUACUAACAGUAUGACAUUCACUCUUUUAACAAACAUUAACUGAGUAUAAACUAUACGCCUGUAAGUAUCUGGGGGUAGAAAUUAUUGCACAUAAAAGCCUGGAUACAAGGGAUGGAUGGAUAGAUAGACACAAGAGAAUAUAUAUAUAUGUGUGUGUGUGUGUAUAUGUAUAUAUGAGCACUAAGUGGCUCAGAGUGGUUGGAAUAGAGGAGCGGAGGGUAAGGCAGCGUUUGCAUAGA
rnacentral:lncRNA from 10 species